AUGCAAGUCGAACGAGCACUUUAUUUGAUUUCCUUCGGGAUUGAUUAUUUUGUGACUGAGUGGCGGACGGGUGAGUAACGCGUGGGUAACCUGCCUUGUACAGGGGGAUAACAGUUGGAAACGGCUGCUAAUACCGCAUAAGCGCACAGCAUCGCAUGAUGCAGUGUGAAAAGCUCCGGUGGUAUAAGAUGGACCCGCGUUGGAUUAGCUAGUUGGUGAGGUAACGGCCCACCAAGGCGACGAUCCAUAGCCGACCUGAGAGGGUGACCGGCCACAUUGGGACUGAGACACGGCCCAAACUCCUACGGGAGGCAGCAGUGGGGAAUAUUGCACAAUGGGCGAAAGCCUGAUGCAGCGACGCCGCGUGAGCGAAGAAGUAUUUCGGUAUGUAAAGCUCUAUCAGCAGGGAAGAUAAUGACGGUACCUGACUAAGAAGCACCGGCUAAAUACGUGCCAGCAGCCGCGGUAAUACGUAUGGUGCAAGCGUUAUCCGGAUUUACUGGGUGUAAAGGGAGCGCAGGCGGUGCGGCAAGUCUGAUGUGAAAGCCCGGGGCUCAACCCCGGUACUGCAUUGGAAACUGUCGUACUAGAGUGUCGGAGGGGUAAGCGGAAUUCCUAGUGUAGCGGUGAAAUGCGUAGAUAUUAGGAGGAACACCAGUGGCGAAGGCGGCUU
rnacentral:rRNA from 1 species